rnacentral:rRNA from 1 species
UACGAGGGGGGCAAGCGUUGUUCGGAAUUAUUGGGCGUAAAGGGUGCGUAGGCGGUUUUGUAAGUCUCGUGUGAAAUCUUCAGGCUCAACUUGAAGACUGCACGAGAAACUGCAGGGCUUGAGUGUGGGAGAGGUGAGUGGAAUUCCUGGUGUAGCGGUGAAAUGCGCAGAUAUCAGGAGGAACACCGGUGGCGAAGGCGGUUCUCUGGGCCGAUACUGACUGAGGAGCGAAAGCGUGGGGAGCGAACAGG